rnacentral:lncRNA from 1 species
CAUGACAAGAAAUUCAGAGGUGGGAAAGCCAGGGCUGCUGCAGCUGCUUUCGGCUGCAUUUCUUCUUUUGGUCCUCCGCACCAGCGAGCAUGUGGCUUGCAUCCUCGUGCCUACAGCAUGGCUGCUGUGCCUACAGGCCUCACACAGAAGUCCCGCUCACCAAGGAAGCAUUUUUAAUCCUUUUUAAAAAGUUGAAGUAAGAUUUAUAUGCAGAGAAAGCAAUGAAUGAGUUCCUGCUGCUCUACAACCUUGCCAACAUUUGGAAUUGUCAGUGUUCUGGAUUUUAGCCAUUCUAUUAGGUUAUAACAGGGUUCAAGAUGUGUACUUUCAUGGAAAAUGAUGUUUCCAUCUUUUCAAUGGUUGUUUGGCUCAAAGGGGUGGAUCAAGAACAAGGAACAUUAAUUGGUAGAGAGAAAGAAAAAAA